GUGAAUUCUAUUGGGGAACUCCUUGAUUCAAGUAUUAUUUUCCCUAGUCAAAGGAUCUGGAUGUAGGUAAGUACUCAUAAAAGACAACUGAAUAUUCAUUAAUAAAAGUCUUCCAUUGACCCUGCACCUAAGAGAAUACUCUCUUGAUGAUGUAGCCCCUGAGAAUCUACAUUCUAGACCACUCACUCUAGGAUGCCCAUAACAACAGACAAUUGGAAGAACCAUUCAGGUCUCCCAUCCUUCAAGGACUCACAAAAGAAGAAAGUAAGCUCAACAAGAGAACCAACCGAAGAUGUUAAGUCUACAAUAAGCAGAACUGUCCACAAACCAAACACUAGUACAGUUUGGCAUGUCCAAAUAAUCACAAAGCACAGCACCUCCAUUGAUGUGGUCAUGCCAUGCUGGACAGUCUUAUGCCAGUGACUUCCAUGGCACAGAACUGAUGCUAAAGUUCUUCAGAGAGGCUUUGAGCAUAUUCUUGUAUCACUUCUGACCUUGUGAGUGCUUAUCUUGUGUGAGUUAAUGCAUUAGAUAAACUCUGCUUAUUAUUUUUUCACUG
rnacentral:lncRNA from 1 species